rnacentral:rRNA from 1 species
UAAGUGGAGCGGUGAAAGGCUCAGUAACGGGCGAUUUAUUUGAUCUCCUGGGACGGACAACAUGGGGAAACUGAUGGGAAAACGUCUAAGUUGCAGUUUAUUGAUUGUGACGUAAACCUUUGUGUGCAGGAGAGUAAGAUGCCAUCCUAUCAGUUAGUAAGUAGGGUAAGGGCCUACUUAGACGAAGACGGGUACGGGGAAUGAGGGUUUGAUUCCGGAGAAGGAGCCUGAGAGAUGGCUACCAGGACCAAGGUCAGCAGCAGGCGCGAAAAUUAUCGAAGCCCGCCUAGGGGCGAUAGUGAGGAGACGUGUAUACGAAGUACGUGUAAAGACCGUACUAAUAACUGGAGGUCAAGUCUGGUGCCAGCAGCCGCG